AUGAGUCUCCUUGCUGACACAAAUCGUGGCCUCGCCGCCGCCAAUGUCUCCGCUCCGGCGACGCCAUCUUCGCCGGGCGAAGCCCACGCCCACGCCCACCCUCAAGCGGAAGCGGGCCGCGCCGGCCGUCGCCCAAGACCCCGACCAAGGCCGAGCCCACGCGGCAGAGGCGGAGGACUGCCGCGUGUGCUCCGGCGCCGGCGGCGGGUCAUGGUGGAGUGCCUCGGUGGGUUCCACCUGCGGUGCGUGCGCCCGCUGCUGCAGCGUGUGCCGGAGGGGGACUGCGAGGCCGAGCGUGAUGUCUCCGGCCCAAGCCUGAAGCCGCCCGUGGGGGAAGAGAUCUCUAUUUCAUGGCCGUCGUGA
rnacentral:rRNA from 1 species